rnacentral:rRNA from 1 species
UACGUAGGUGGCAAGCGUUGUCCGGAUUUACUGGGCGUAAAGAGCGCGCAGGCGGUCGGAUCAGUCGAAUGUGAAAGCCCCCGGCUCAACUGGGGAGGGUCAUUCGAUACUGUCCGACUCGAAGGCAGGAGAGGGAUGCGGAAUUCCAGGUGUAGCGGUGAAAUGCGUAGAUAUCUGGAGGAACACCGGUGGCGAAGGCGGCAUCCUGGACCGGCAUUGACGCUGAGGCGCGAAAGCCAGGGGAGCAAACGGG